GCCACAUUUCACCAACCGAGUGGCCAUCUACGAUGGCUUCAGAGGGAAGACGGUGAGAAGCCGUCGCGGACCCGCCGCCGUAACCGGGAACGAAAGCCGCGAAAUGCCACUGUCCGAUAGGAUGGGAAGGCGCGGCCGGUAGGAUGAUCCGGAAGCCGGAAGACCUGCUCGGGUGGUGUUGCAGCUU
rnacentral:ncRNA from 1 species